AUUGAACGCUGGCGGCAGGCUUAACACAUGCAAGUCGAGCGGUAGCACAGGGGAGCUUGCUCCCUGGGUGACGAGCGGCGGACGGGUGAGUAAUGUCUGGGAAACUGCCUGAUGGAGGGGGAUAACUACUGGAAACGGUAGCUAAUACCGCAUAACGUCGCAAGACCAAAGAGGGGGACCUUCUGGCCUCUUGCCAUCAGAUGUGCCCAGAUGGGAUUAGCUAGUAGGUGGGGUAAUGGCUCACCUAGGCGACGAUCCCUAGCUGGUCUGAGAGGAUGACCAGCCACACUGGAACUGAGACACGGUCCAGACUCCUACGGGAGGCAGCAGUGGGGAAUAUUGCACAAUGGGCGCAAGCCUGAUGCAGCCAUGCCGCGUGUGUGAAGAAGGCCUUCGGGUUGUAAAGCACUUUCAGCGAGGAGGAAGGUGGUGAGCUUAAUACGUUCAUGAAUUGACGUUACUCGCAGAAGAAGCACCGGCUAACUCCGUG
rnacentral:rRNA from 1 species